rnacentral:rRNA from 1 species
UACGUAGGGUGCAAGCGUUGUCCGGAAUUAUUGGGCGUAAAGAGCGUGUAGGCGGCCAGGUAGGUCUGCUGUGAAAACUCGAGGCUUAACCUCGAGCUGUCGGCGGAAACCAUCUGGCUAGAGUCCGGAAGAGGAGAAUGGAAUUCCCGGUGUAGCGGUGAAAUGCGCAGAUAUCGGGAAGAACACCCGUGGCGAAGGCGGUUCUCUGGG